CGGGAUGUGGAGCAGCUGGUAGCUUGCCACGUUCGGGACGUGGAGGUCGUGGGUUCGAAUCCCGCCAUCCCGA
rnacentral:tRNA from 4 species